CAGAGGGGACUGGGCGGUCUCGUGGCCUGGAACCCCUACAGAUUUUAUUUUUUUCUCCAGCCUUUUUUUUUUUUUUUUUUUUUUCUGUCCCCCCUGGCCAUCGGACCUUACUCUUAUUCUAUGUUAAUUAAUGUUGACUUAUUUUAAUUUCUUACUUUGUCUUUUAUUUUUCUUUUCUUCAUUAUGUAAAGCACUUUGAGCUACAUUUUUUGUAUGAAAAUGUGCAAUAUAAAUAAAUGUUGUUGUU